CAGUAGCCGCGGGAAUACGUAGGGUGCAAGCGUUAAUCGGAAUUACUGGGCGUAAAGCGUGCGUAGGCGGUUUUGACAGUCAGAUGUGAAAUUCCUGGGCUUAACCUGGGGGCUGCAUUUGAGACGUCAAGACUAGAGUGUGAGAGAGGGUUGUGGAAUUCCCAGUGUAGAGGUGAAAUUCGUAGAUAUUCGGAGGAACACCAGUGGCGAAGGCGGCUCACUGGUCCAUUACUGACGCUGAGGUGCGAAAGCGUGGGGAGCAAACAGGAUUAGAUACCCCCGUAGUCCCUGUCUCUUAUAC
rnacentral:rRNA from 1 species